GAAUACCCUCGGGGGUAGAGCACUGGAUGGGUAAUGGGGCCCCACAGGCUUACUGAUCCUAACCAAACUCCGAAUACCGGGGAGUAAUAUCUGGCAGACACACAGCGGAUGCUAACGUCCGUUGUGGAGAGGGAAACAACCCUGACCUCCAGCUAAGGCCCCUAAUUCAUGGCUAAGUGGGAAAGCAUGUGAGACGACCAAAACAACCAGGAUGUUGGCUUAGAAGCAGCCAUCAUUUAAAGAAAGCGUAACAGCUCACUGGUCUAGAUAAGUUAUCUUGCGGCGAAGAUGUAACGGGGCUCAAGCCAUGAGCCGAAGCUGAGGACAUCGUAAGAUGUGGUAGCGGAGCGUUCCGUGAUUAAACUCCUCCGAUUUUAGCACACUUAGUGUGCAUUAGUCGGAACGAGUUUUUCUGUGAAGCCGGGCUGUAAGGCAUCCGGUGGAGAGAUCGGAAGUGAGAAUGUUGACAUGAGUAGCGAUAAACAGGGUGAGAGACCCUGUCGCCGAAAGUCCAAGGGUUCCUGCUUAAAGUUAAUCUGAGCAGGGUAAGCCGACCCCUAAGGCGAGGCCGAAAGGCGUAGUCGAUGGGAACCAGGUUAAUAUUCCUGGGCCAGGAGGAAGUGACGGAUCACAGGUGUAGUAAGUCCUUAUUGGAUUGGGCUUGCUGCUGAGUGGUUCCUGGAAAUAGCCCUCCAUAUGAUCGUACCCUAAACCAACACAGGUGGACUGGUAGAGUAUACCAAGGCGCUUGAGAGAACUGCAUUGAAGGAACUCGGCAAAAUGCCUCCGUAAGGUCGCGAGAAGGAGGCCCCAUUCGUAGGCAACUAUGGGUGGGGGGCACAGACUAGGGGGUGGCGACUGUUUACUAAAAACACAGGGCUCUGCGAAGCCGCAAGGCGAAGUAUAGGGUCUGACGCCUGCCCGGUGCCGGAAGGUUAAGAGGAGGUGUGCAAGCACCGAAUUGAAGCCCCGGUAAACGGCGGCCGUAACUAUAACGGUCCUAAGGUAGCGAAAUUCCUUGUCGGGUAAGUUCCGACCUGCACGAAUGGCGUAACGACUUCCGCACUGUCUCAACCAGGGACUCAGCGAAAUUGAAUUGCCGGUGAAAAUGCCGGCUACCCGCGGCAAGACGGAAAGACCCCGUGAACCUUUACUACAGCUUGGCAGUGAUGUUUGAAUCAUUUUGUAGAGGAUAGGUGGGAGACUAUGAAGCGGGGGCGCUAGCCUUCGUGGAGUCAACCUUGGAAUACCACCCUGAAUCAUUUGAACAUCUAACCUAGGUCCGUGAAGCCGGACCAGGGACAUUGCCUGGUGGGUAGUUUGACUGGGGCGGUCGCCUCCCAAAAAGUAACGGAGGCGUGCGAAGGUAGGCUCAGAACGGUCAGAAAUCGUUCGUAGAGUGCAAUGGCAUAAGCCUGCCUGACUGUGAGACUGACAAGUCGAGCAGAGACGAAAGUCGGUCAUA
rnacentral:rRNA from 1 species